rnacentral:rRNA from 1 species
CGACCACAACGGGUGGAGCCUGCGGUUUAAUUGGACUCAACGCCGGGCAGCUCACCGGAUUAAGACAGCUGGAUGAUAGCCGGGCUGAAGACUCUGCUUGACUAGCUGAGAGGAGGUGCAUGGCCGUCGUCAGUUCGUACUGUGAAGCAUCCUGUUAAGUCAGGCAACGAGCGAGACCCACGCCAACAGUUGCCAGCAUGUCCUCCGGGAUGAUGGGGACACUGUUGGGACCGCCUCUGCUAAAGAGGAGGAAGGAAUGGGCAACGGUAGGUCAGCAUGCCCCGAAUUAUCCGGGCUACACGCGGGCUACAAUGGUCAGGACAAUGGGUAUCGACACCGAGAGGUGGAGGCAAUCUCCUAAACCUGUCCUUAGUUCGGAUUGUGGGCUGCAACUCGCCCACAUGAAGCUGGAAUCCGUAGUAAUCGCGUUUCAAAAUAGCGCGGUGAAUAUGUCCCUGCUCCUU